AGAACCGAGAAUUCACGUUUGGACACACACUAUCGAAACACGAGACGUAUCGAGCAUUUUUCCACAAAUUGUGCAAUCUGAAAGAUGUUCUAUGAUUGACCUUAUGACCUUGAAUAAAUCACGGAGAAUCGCAUUUCCAACGAAUACAUCACAAAUUGUGUAAAUUGACUCGUCACUAAACAUGUACAGCUUCCUUAAAACGGUACUACUAUUUUCACAACUCUUCAAAUCGAACCAAUCCAAUUUAUUUCACAGAGUGAACACAUGUGCGAGCGGUCAACCGUCGUUGUAACAUAACCUGAGACAGAGAAGAACGAUCAGAACAGAGGACAGACACGAAAGUUGAUUUCGAUCGAUGGACACGCGUUAACAGAGUGAACGAACCACCGCUGUGAAGUGCACUCGCACACACGGUUCUUGUAACGAAAUUAUACGGCAACAAACAGGGAAUGCAAGCGACACGCGCGACGACUAGUUGACGACUAAAGUAGUCAGUCACACUACUGUAGUGAACUACUACGACGUGUGACCGUAGGAGCAGCAGCAGCAGUAGCGAGUAGAAACGGCGCUGCACACUCAUUGCCUCUAUCUCGACUACUUUGUUACACAAUCUCGUGCGUGUAUACAUAUAUCGGUUCCUUCUAACCGUUUUUCUCAGCCGAUUUGGCCGCGGGAUAAUGUUUUUAAAGCUUUGAAAUACUAUGCAUAGCUGAGGAAAACUUAGAUAGUGGAAAGGGAUAUAACAACUUUAACCCUUUUACAGGGAGCCCCAGCACUCAACACUCUAAACAUAUUUAUAGAUGAUCUUAGCGAUAUAAAAUAUAAUACAAAUUCACAUAUUCAAUUAAUAUAUUACAGAAAUUCAUGAAAAAACGUUUGGAACCCAUCCUCGCCGGGAUUCGAACCCUGAUCUUCCGAGUGGUAGUUAGUGACGCUACCCGUUACGUUAACGAAACCCACUGACAUAACCUUAUCUUUACAAUUCCACUUAUUAGAUAUUAAUUCCAAUAUUAAUAAUUUAUAUCAUUGAGUACAAUUGAAGCAAAUGAAGUCCCCUUCCCCUAGAUCAUCUUUUUCCCUGGAAAAGGACUAACGUAUUCAACCUAGAGGGCACUAAACGCGAUGGAAACUCAAGAGCAAAGAGGUCCAAGCGGAAAAUUAAACCUAACUGACUGAAUUACUAUUUAUAGUGACGUUGAAGAUGGGCUUGGUGGGCAAGCAACUGAAACAAGCUAUUAAUAGCAUUGUUCUUGUUGUUGUUUGUUAAAAGCAGAUUGGAAAGGGGUGUUCCAGCUACACAUAAAAAAAAAACAAGGCUUCAGGGACUUAUCAAGAGGCCUUCUCGCGAAAGACAAUUUCGGGAAGGCUGUUCCAGAAACUAGUGAGCCCGAUGCAUGUGCCAAAUCGGUCUCCCAUAAUGCGUGUCGACGACGUACGAAGAUAGAAAGCAAAUGGAAGAGAACGUGCAAGAUGCAAUUGCCGUUGCUCUAUCGUGCGUGCUACCGUCCAUUGGGAUGACUCGUGCAAAGAACAAAGAUCAACGACUUCGUAAUUAGUAAAUUUUUCAAGUUACCAAGAAUCUUCGACGUGGGAAGUGUCUAAUAUUACAAUGUACCUCGACAAAACUUCUAAUCCUUACUCCAAAACUCCACUAAAAGACUACUAAAAUGAGCCAUCCGCUUAUUUAAUCUUUUCCCUAGAAUCCCCAAAAAUAUGUACCUACUGAACGCUAAGAGAGAAUGACGCGUGCCUCGAUAACGGGACGAUCCACGUAAUUUUCAGACGAGGUAAAGUCACGGAGAACAGCGACGGUUGUAAUUGGAUCACUUUGCCGCUAAACGAGCUUAACGAUCGAUUCUGCCUUCCACUCUAAUGGUAUAAUGCGCAGAGGCGAUAGAAUGGAUCUUCUGUGGUCUGACGUUGUUUUAAUAACGGAAGCGUCGAGAAAUCAUGAAUCCCAAACAUGUAACGAUGAUGGUAUCACUGAGCAUAAGGAAACUAAUGAUCCCUUCGGAAGAAUGGAAUUUUAUUCGAUUCCAAAAUCGAAGGUUCACUAUGUGCUACCAGCCACUCUAUUCGAACCAACGAGACUAUGUAUACUCGGCCCAUGGUAUACAUGCCAAGAGCCAUGAACUAUACACCAACCAAACGAGUGCCUAAGUGGAUUUUCAGGUCUCGAGACGUCUCCCCCAUCGGCAAGGGGUACUCUCUCGAACAAGUUGUUUUCGUUCGAUGGAGAGGCUUUCUGUUCGCGUUACCGACCGACACUGUACUUAUUCGCCAAGUGAAAACGACCGUCCGAUCGCGUACGCGGAAAAAUACUAAAAGUCCGUAGUCUGAGACUUCGCGAGGAGAACUAGCCGCGACUAGGCAGAGACGGUACGACAUUGCGCUUGUAGAACCGCUUUAACGUGCGAGGCAAACGGGCGACGUGUUACACAACGAUGGCCAAAAAAGCUGUGCCAAGCUGCGUGGCGCUGGGCCACGGGGCGUAAAUGUGUCCACCUAACCUCGAAACAAGACAGAGAAGUGGUACAUACGCAACCCGUCAGACUCUUAUCCACACGUUCAUACCGCGCGGGCGCGUGUGUAUGUGAUAGAGAGGUCUUCGGUGUGUGUAACGCGCGUGUUUUAGGGUUGCGAAAAAGCUCAUGGUUAUUUGGACUCGUUUCUCGGCUCGGUUCGUCUAGGACACGCGUGUUAUAUAGAACCGGCCUGAUUAUAAACAAUAUUGAAAAAUUUCAUUUCAAUCACUACUCACAGUCAUAAAUGUCUUGUACGAAGAAAAGGUUUAGACUCAUUCUUUAACAAGGUGUUUUCCGACGGAUAUCCGGUGGAGGUGACGAUCCGGAUAUAGGUCACACCGGGAACGAUCGAUUCUCAAGGUGGUGGAUGGCUAUCGAAUGCAUUAAACAAACUACUUUCAGUAGUUUCCGCGUGCCACCUUCGCACGAAAUAUAAUUAGUGCCAAUUAUUGAAUAUGCGCAUGACGCUUUACCGUCAAUAAAUUUCCAUCGAUCUCAAGAAAGGAGGGAGAGUCGAGAGAGAGAGAGAGAAAGAGUCACCACAUGCGCCACCUGCUAGUUGCACACGCGUACUUUUACUUUUAAUGUCCACGUCAAUCGCGUGUACAUUCGCGAUCAAAUUAGGCUUCUCUAAGGAAAAUAGAGAAUUCUCAAAAUCUUAAUUUUGACGAUAUUAAUAUUAAAUUAAAUAAUUUAGAAAUAAAAUAAAAACAAAAUUUAGUAUAUAACUGAGAAAUAUGAAUAACAAAUAAAGACCAAUUCAAAUGCCCCACGUAAAGGUUUACGCACACGUGAUUGGAUCGGCUCCUGUUCCCUAUGUGUGUACAUAUAUGUAUACAUACAUGAGAACCCUUUCUCUACGCUGUCAUUCUCCUCGCGUAUGCCAAUGGGGAAGAGCUAAAUAUAAUUUUUCCAUAGACAUAAUUUUUCCUAGAAAAGCCUGAUUUUAGGCAAGGACUCUAUCAAUAAUGAUACUCAUACAUAUGUUCCCAAUAAAAAAUAUUCAAAUAUCAAAGUUAUUUUAUAUAAGAUUUUCUAAUGCACGUUAGACAAUUAUUGUAGCAUGCGAGACUUGCAUACACAACCCAUUCGCUUUUACACUGUUCCAUAAAUCAUGAAAAUUUGCCUUCUGAUAAGAUUGUAACAUAUCAAAGUUCGGUUUUAUUCUUUAUUCGUGAAAGAGAAAAAGCUUGGAAUAGCAUGGUGAUUCAUAUGCAGGUAACGGUAUGAGUCAGAAUUAUUUUUUGUCUAUACCACUGAAACGCCCUUUUGAUCGAAAGCACUAUGAAUGAUAUUCUCCUCCCUAAAUGAUGCAAGGAUAUGGCGAGACAAAUAUGUAUUUGCAAUUUUUACGAUUUCGGGGAUUUUGAGACCGCACGUAACGCUAUGUACUCGAAUUUACCAAAUAAAUUGAACAUGUUUACUGUAUAACAACAAAGGAUUAAUGGAAAUUUACCGUAGUCCCACGGAAUUGUAUAAAUUACGAUAAACCAUGUAAGCCUAGACCAGUAUUUAUAAAUUAGCACAUAUAUAUCAUACGUGUUGGUCGUGACAUCAAGCUGGACUCUGUUGCUCGUCGAUAUUCACCUGCGUAAUCGAUUCCAUGUUCGAAUACCACAAAAUGAACAAACAUAUCAAGCGAGGCUGCUGCCUGUCAUUAUCCGCAUAGAAUCGUAAAAUCAGUAGCAGCUUUCAAAUUCAAAAACAUGAGUCCAUCCAUAAAAAUAAUUAAAAAAGAAAAAACAUAAUUGAAACAAUAAAAGAAGGAGGAGCGAGCAAGAAGGAUCCAAGAACAGUAAGAAUCUUGCCAAAGACAAUAGCAGUAAGGCAGGGAUGGGGAUAAUGAAGAAAAAGAGUGGAGGGAAAGAGAGGGAGACAUGAUAAAGAGCAAACAGCAGCCUCCCUUGCCAGGUGAACGGAACCUGGUCCGACGGCGACUUAAUCUUAGAACACCUCCUCCACUGCCAACAAACGAACAGACUUCUCACCGUCACACUACCCUGUGUGGGAUUCACUUUCGUCAUCGUGGAACACGUCGCGGAUCGGUACACGCACACGGCGUGGUUACCGCACAACACACCGCGGCUGCGACGGUUAACGGACUAAAGAGGUGGACGCGCAACGACGCGAAAACUGAUAUGCUAUCGCGACACGAUCUCGGUUCUCGCAACACCACGCGACGCGACCGGAGUAUUCAGGGAGAACACAGAAAUCGGAAGAGAACACGAUCGAACGCGAGAGAAAGAGGUAGAAUAAUUAGGUACAGACGGAGUGAAACCGAGAGAGAGAGAGAGCGCGAACAAGGAAGUAGAGUGGUAGGAGAGGUAAAACGUAAACACGACACAGAAAAGGAUCCAUAGCGGGGUUCUAUCCUCUAUGUAAACGCUCGUUCAAGUAUUUCGCGACGGUGGAGUCUUCGUUGUCUCGUAAAACAACACAACGUAUCCGCGCGAGGAAAGUGCACCUGCGCGGUCCUGCGUCGUUUUCUCGGUCGCGGCCCGUUUGUCCCUGUGGUGCCACCUCUCUACCCCUCCCAGCCUACUAACCCUCUCCCCCCUUGGUUCCUCCUCGACUGCGCCUAACCCUCUCCUCCUCUUUUUACGUUCCAACUUGCCGCUCAUCGACUGGAGGGGACUAAGAGGCACCUUCUGCCUCCUCUUUCUCGCACCGUUCCCCUCCCUAGUUCUGCGGCAACAUCCACGUCCCUGUAACACCACCCACUCAUCCAACACCCGACGUGUACCGUCGAGAGUCGAUUACCGUCGACAGAGAACCGGGGACGGACCCUUCCACUCGAUACAAGUGGCCGAGAGACAGACACACCAAUAUGGCCGACUAAAUUCAAGCGGUCGUGGCACACAGCCGGGAGAUUAUGUAAGUCCCGCGGAUGAUUAUGAGUUUUCGCAUCGUCAGAGCGGAGGGACGCAUUUGCUUUUGCUCGGAUGGUAAUUGAAAGGCGAGAUUUUAAAAUUGACCCUUAUUGAGUCACCUCAGGAUUAAACGCGCCUGAGUGUCACAGUCGGAAUGGUCAUUAGUACGCUAAUUAACCCCUCGACUUGUGGACCGUAAAAGCCACACGAGUCCUAUACACUCUAGCCGAACAGCGCGAAUUUUUUCAGUGGUCGUUGAACCCAAACAGAUUCGAUCGAUAUAAAGUGCACCGGAGUUGCACGAAACCGGGAUCAUUCGUGAUUGAACCGUAUGCGGGGGUUGUAUACGGGGUUACCCCGUCGGGUGUUACGAUACAAAGCCGAGGAAAAGCUCUUGUGUGCUACAAAUCCAAAAUUAGACACUGCCAAUCACCAAGAGCAAUCUAUAUACGGGGAGGACAAUCGAUUACCUUCGGGGAACGGAGUGUACCGUCGAAGCUAUCGUGCUCGAUAUUAAUCGGCCCGAUGUACGGACGAUAUUAAUAGCUCGAUUAGGAAGGACCAACACAAAGCAAUUGGCUCGUGAGAGAGAUCGAAUGCUAACCAGGUUAAUACAAUUCAGCAGGAUGAUACUCGGAGAUGUCUCGCAUUGUCAAAUUACAUAAGCCACAGUGGUAGCAAAGAAAACCAGUGAUUUUUCAUUCGUCACAAUUCCGGUAACUUUGGAUCUAUCAUAAAGCCAGGUAUUGUUUGCGCGAGAGUGAAGCAAACUCUGCUUUUGGCUCGGCGACAAGCUGGUCGUGCGCAGUUGGCUUGGUUCAAUAUAAAAAGAAUUCACGGGGACGAGUGGAUUUGGUUGGGAUCAUUAAUAGGAAUCGUUCGAGUUCAAAAUUAACAACGAUAACUUGUCGGAAAUAAGCUAACGAUAAAACAGAAGGAUUAGUUAAAACCGCGUGACUGCGCAGUUCGUUUCGUCCGAACGAGCAAGCGUUUUAAUUAAAUUGUAAUGGAAGAGUCGAUUACUCUAUAGUACGGUCUAUACCGUAACCUCAAAGGACAGUUUGAUUGUCAAUUAAUCGCAGAAGACAUCCCGGGCAGAACUUCGUAAACAACAACGAAAUUAUUCCCAGGGGUUGGAGAGAAAAAAAAAACCCCCCCGUGAAACAUCGAGACCGCAUACUACGAAAGCCGCGUCGCCCUGUCUGACUACGAAUCGAACUUUUCUACUUUGAAACCGAGCGAGGCGGCGGAGAUGCACGAAUGAGCACGAGGGAAGCCGAAGCAACACGUGGCCCCGGGAACACACGAGCGACUACUGUUCGUACUAUACAUACAGCCGAUUAUUCUAGCUAUGAAAGUCCGGAACUGUUACGAGCUCUUCACGACUCAAUGUCACGGUUUCAGCACGUGCGAUAAACGCGUCCAAGUGUGACAGAAUCGACGAGAAAACAGAGAGAAAAAGGGAGUGGGGAAAACGGAAUAAAGAAAGGAACGCGAAUGAAUAACGAUUACAACGCAGUUGGUUCAUUUGGAGAAGCAGGCACAGCUGGUGGUGGGGGUAAAGUUGGAACCAAUCGGAUUACGCCGUCGAUGAUGUCCAAUCAGAAGCGGCAAUUUUAUAGGACUUGAAAUUUCCCGAACAAUUUAAAUGACCCAUAUGUAUAUUCUGAACAUUGAUGUGUGCGAUGUUUAAAACAAUUGUAAUAAUUUAACACGUUUGUCUGAAAAUAUAUUAACAUUGUCAGAAAUGCAACCUAAAUUGUCCUAAUCAAUUGUGAACUUACUACCUCUCAUUUUAUUUCUACUGAGUUAUGUAACAUUUUAAAUCAUAAGCUCUCAUGAGUAAUCACUUGCUCAUACGUUACACUAUCACACAUUGUGUAUGACUAUAUUUCCCAUUUAUGAAUCACGUUUCGUUUCAAAGAAGCGGACAAAAGUAUCUAUCCUCGAAUCGUCUUAACUCGGAAACUACUUACAACCUCCUACACAUCUAUUACUUUUUUAUGCUUUAAUCUAGUUUCAUGUUAUCUGUAAUGUUCCACGCGAUGGUGUACGAGCACAGCAACACGCGCCGGAGUAACUCGACGUUUUCGAGCACGACAGACAGGUCGAGUAAUUGGAUCGAGCAGCAGGGCUGCGAUUGGCAGCCGCCUAACAGGCCUGUUUCAACCCCCAUCCAGGAAGUGGAAAAGGCUCGAGAGAGAGAGAGAGAGAGAGAGAGAGAUCCUCUAUAACGCUUUUGCUUAACUUGACCUUAAUUUCACGGGGUACAAUCUCAUUGUCGUUUACGAGUCCUUGGAAAUUAUAGAGAAAAAAAAUAGAUCACCAGUACUCGUUAACACUAUUCUCAUUAUUGGUGUAAUUUAUGCAAUCUAAUGUAACACCGCACAAGAUGGAGGUUAUGUUCCUUCGAAAGUCUCAUUUCGUCCCAUUUUUCCGCAGAAUAAUCCAAACGCCUUUUCCGCUGGGUCGAUCCGACAAUUUGAAUAGCAAUCAGAAAGGCGGGUAGGAUUUUUCCGCUGCUUUUUCAUGGAAAUUCUGCUCUUCUUUUUCCCCCGACAGAUAAUUUCAUUCGCACGCGAUUUCCUUCGCCUCGUCCUCUCCCUUAACCCCUGUGUAUACCUCCACGUGGAUCUUCUCAAACCACUAUCACCUCUUUUCUAUGGUGGUAACGCGUAGAAUGACGUCAGUGAUUCCCACUCUUCCUCUCGGUAAUCCCAUCCGGAAAUAGGAAGGAGGGAGAGAGACGGGGGUGGAAUAGCACGCGUUUCGGUCAAUAGCAACCGGGAUCAACUCUGGGAAUUCUCGAAUGUUUCCGCGUUCGAGGCUCGACUUUAAACCCACCCAUCGCAUACCUGGAAAUUUUCCUCCUGUUUUCCAGCGAAGCGAACCGGAGGACGAACUUCCUAUUGUGUUUAUUUACGGAUACACAAAUUGGUCGCCGAAAUGUAAAUUUUGCUAUUCGUGGAUAAAAGUGACUGAAUUAACGAGUUGGGACUUGUUAGGAAGAGUCCGCAUGAAAAGACACUUUUACGAAUGACUGUAUGUUAGAAAUGGCAAAGAGAUUUUGUUGAAAGAGUCAUUGGAAGCUUCGUUAAAUUUAUCAGUUGGUAGAGAGCAAGGUUGAAAAGGUAAAGUCAAGGAGGAACAUCGAAGGGAAGACACCCUUAUUCCGCUCCGUAAUCAGCUUCGCUUCUGGGGGAGGAGACACUAACACGUCGUUAUACUAACGGGGGUCAACCUUGGGACACAUUAAGGGUACCAUGGUUUGCACGGUAAUAGGGCCAAGGACACCUCAGGCUGUGCUUCCAUUUGCUUGAAUAAAUGAUGGAAUAUCGACAAAUUGCUUUUAACUUGUGGACAACGUUGAUGUACAAUAUAACUAAGUCCUUCCAACGUGAACAAUUUUGUCAAAUAAUAAAUGCCAUUCAUUAUUUUUACUAUCUAUAAUAACAAGUAUUCUCGCGAUCAUUUCCAACUUGCCUUUCCAUUCUUGAUAUUAACCCGGAACUUAUUUCUUUUAAUCACCACUGAAGCUACCCUUGGUCCCCAUCCCUUUUAUCAAGACACACCACUUUCGAAAAGGCCUGCGGGCAACAGGAGGCGCGUACAACAAGCGCAACAACGUGAACUACUCUCUUCCCUCGGUGACCGAGAGAAGCGGGGAGGGAUUCAGGCACGAGCGGCCGUCAGGGGUUGACCUAAUUUCACUUCAUAGGUUGGCCUCUGACUGUCUGACCUUUUCCCAGGAGAGAGUUCCUGGCGAGGGUGCGCUUGUGCACCACUCGGAGGAUGAUGAUCGGUGGUGGGACAAAGAGGAUCGUGCAGCACGUGUAUGGCCUUCGCGUAUCAAAGAGAGAGCAAAUCGAGACGGGUAACAAAGAGAAAAACGAAACUAGGAUUAAUGGAACAUGACUCAAGCACAAUUUUAACAUCUUUCCGCUCGAAAUUUUCAAUUUCAAAGAAUGCCGAGGAUGAAAGAGGGGGAACAGAGAGCAAGAUAUUAAUCUCUAUCCGGAAAGCCUAGCGGAUUCUCUGGCGUAAGCGUAGAAACGACGUAGGAGGUGGUGGAGGUUCGCCAGGCAGGUGCGGAACCGACCGUGAGGGGAUAAAUGAAACUGGGUCACCCCUGGGAACCGGUGAGCCUGGGGCUCGUGGUGUCCGGGAACAACUGGCCAGAAGAGCCUGACGAACAUCCGUUUCAAAACGGAAACUGAUACAUGUUGUACAGCAAACACCUGUUUAUAUAUGCUUCCAUUUUAUACGACCUGAUAUAUUCCACCCAAGAUAGCCUUCAAAAAUUACUACUAAAUACAUCUGUAAAAACAUAUGAAUCAUUUUUGUUCGCGUACACGCAUAGAAAAAUUGAUGCGAGAGAAGAGGUGUGUGUGAUUGAAUAUCAUUGAAGAGAGUUGACCUAGAUUGGUUGAACGAAAAAUACGCGGUGGGAUUAUCGAAAUAAUUCCGCCUCAAACUGGACCGAUACGGCUCCACAUGCGCGUUUGUAGAGAGGUAUUAGAUACAUGAUACACUCUAGAUCAAAGUAGGCUCCCCAGGAAAAGCGGUGAUGUCCAGGGUUUUCACCUUUCCCCAUCAGGAGCUCGAAGGAGACUGACGAUGCAUCGAAAGGGGCCUCAUAUGUGUACAGUGAGAGGCAAAAAGAAGCACGAUUUGAUCGUGAGUGUACUCUGUGUUUCCAUGUCGGAAUUACAGCGCAUCCGAACUGAACA